rnacentral:rRNA from 1 species
UACGAAGGGGGCUAGCGUUGCUCGGAAUCACUGGGCGUAAAGGGUGCGUAGGCGGGUCUUUAAGUCAGGGGUGAAAUCCUGGAGCUCAACUCCAGAACUGCCUUUGAUACUGAAGAUCUUGAGUUCGGGAGAGGUGAGUGGAACUGCGAGUGUAGAGGUGAAAUUCGUAGAUAUUCGCAAGAACACCAGUGGCGAAGGCGGCUCACUGGCCCGGUACUGACGCUGAGGUGCGAAAGCGUGGGGAGCAAA